GUGCCACCUUCUCCUGUUCCUUUUGAUUCAACAUGGGUAGACAUGACCUGCAGCAGACGAGUGAGCUUGCUGUCCCGGUAUGGUAUGCGAGGGAGGCCCUGGUUUAAUGCAUCCACCACUUUGCCCAGUACAAAGAGGGAGGUGUUGAUGGCUCCGCUCUCUUUGAGCCGAAUGCCCUGGUUGCCUGUGCGACGGUUGUCCUCUGAACCAGCCAAAUCAAUAAGGUAGAGUUUUCCUUCCCGCUGGCGAAAUGGAGUCAAACGUUCACGCUGAUCUACCUAGGGGAAGAGCAAGAGACCCAGACUCAGUCCACAUUUCAGGGGCUUCCCAGGCCUUUCUGUCAGCGGGCCUUACCUUGACCAAGAGCACUGCGUGACUACGGGAAGAGCGCUGGUUAAGCCGGGUGGCUCCUACAGCUCGAUUUCUACUGGCUGGAAGGAAGUGCUGCUCGAAGUCAGAGAAGCUGGUGAUGGGCUUCUGUGUGAGGCCUGGGAUCAGGAUGUUCCCUCGGCAGUCUUCGCGGAUCACGAGGUCUCCUGAUGCAGGAUCCAAGAGGUCUAAUACCUAUUUGAGCAGUGACAGUGAGCCCAUUUCUCCAUGACCAGGGUGCCUGCUGAAGCAGGGGUUAGGAUCCCUUUCUCUACUGGACUGUUAGGGUUCUUUCACUUGCUACCCCAACCCUGCCUGUCUAGGCUUCACUACACCUUUACUAGAGGAGAGCUUCAUGUCCUCUCUAGAUGGCCCUGGUACUUUGCCCCCUUACCUUUUCCUGGUAGAUCUCUAAAUAGGACAUAGCAACAGAAACGUCCCAUGGCCGUCCCUCAGCACUCUCUUCCCUUGCUAGUUGCAGGAGGUCCAUGAGAGCCCGAGGAAUCACUCCAGGUUGCUCUGGGCUGCCCAGCAUUGUGUGUGUCUUCCCUGGGCAAAGAGCAGAGAAAGAAAAGUCUACUGUGCUGGGCAUGUCAGCACAGCACCUGGGAUCCCAGCACUGAGGAGGGAAGUCAAGAGGAUCAGUAGUUCAAGGCCAGCCUGGACUUUAUGAGACCUUGUUUCAAAAGAACAAAAUCCAAAGAAACAAAAAAAUGAAACAACCAAAUGGAAGACUUUGGUUGGAUCUGAC
rnacentral:lncRNA from 1 species